UUGCUCGUUUGGGCCGCCCUAACAUGCAAGUCGAGCGGUAGCACAGAGAGCUUGCUCUCGGGUGACGAGCGGCGGACGGGUGAGUAAUGUCUGGGAAACUGCCUGAUGGAGGGGGAUAACUACUGGAAACGGUAGCUAAUACCGCAUAAUGUCGCAAGACCAAAGUGGGGGACCUUCGGGCCUCAUGCCAUCAGAUGUGCCCAGAUGGGAUUAGCUAGUAGGUGGGGUAACGGCUCACCUAGGCGACGAUCCCUAGCUGGUCUGAGAGGAUGACCAGCCACACUGGAACUGAGACACGGUCCAGACUCCUACGGGAGGCAGCAGUGGGGAAUAUUGCACAAUGGGCGCAAGCCUGAUGCAGCCAUGCCGCGUGUGUGAAGAAGGCCUUCGGGUUGUAAAGCACUUUCAGCGGGGAGGAAGGCGUUAAGGUUAAUAACCUUGGCGAUUGACGUUACCCGCAGAAGAAGCACCGGCUAACUCCGUGCCAGCAGCCGCGGUAAUACGGAGGGUGCAAGCGUUAAUCGGAAUUACUGGGCGUAAAGCGCACGCAGGCGGUCUGUCAAGUCGGAUGUGAAAUCCCCGGGCUCAACCUGGGAACUGCAUUCGAAACUGGCAGGCUAGAGUCUUGUAGAGGGGGGUAGAAUUCCAGGUGUAGCGGUGAAAUGCGUAGAGAUCUGGAGGAAUACCGGUGGCGAA
rnacentral:rRNA from 1 species